rnacentral:rRNA from 1 species
AGCUUGUUGUUUUUUAUAAUAAGCGGUUUCUGCCCGGUGCUGUUUGAGUAAACGGCCGCGGUAUUUUGACCGUGCAAAGGUAGCAUAAUCACUUGCCCUUUAAUUGGGGGCUGGUAUGAAUGGGAGCUUGAGGGCUCUGCUGUCUCUUCUUUUGGUGUGGAAGUUGCUGUUCUUGUGAAGAAGCAGGGGUUAGGGAGAGGGACAAGAAGACCCUAUUAAGCUUUACUUUUUGGUUUCUGCUUUCUACUCGUGUGAGUAUUUGUGGGGGGGGUCUUUGAGUUUGGUUGGGGCGACUGAAAAGGAUGUAGGGAUCCUCUUCUAGUGUGUUGAACUUUUUGUUGAAAGGUGAACCGGGAUGUUCUGGUUGUGAGAACUAGUUACUAUAGGGAUAACAGCGUAAUUUCUUCAGAGAGUUCAUAUCGAAGAAAGGAGUUUGCGACCUCGAUGUUGACUUGUUGUAUCCUCUUCUGGUAAGGUGUAGCAGCUGGGGGGGUCAGUCUGUUCGACUGUU